rnacentral:rRNA from 1 species
UUGAACGCUGGCGGCAGGCCUCACACAUGCCAGUCGAGCGGAUGAAGGGAGCUUGCUCCUGGAUUCAGCGGCGGACGGGUGAGUAAUGCCUAGGAAUCUGCCUGGCAGUGGGGGAUAACGUCCGGAAACGGGCGCUAAUACCGCAUACGUCCUGAGGGAGAAAGUGGGGGAUCUUCGGACCUCACGCUAUCAGAUGAGCCUAGGUCGGAUUAGCUAGUUGGUGGGGUAAAGGCCUACCAAGGCGACGAUCCGUAACUGGUCUGAGAGGAUGAUCAGUCACACUGGAACUGAGACACGGUCCAGACUCCUACGGGAGGCAGCAGUGGGGAAUAUUGGACAAUGGGCGAAAGCCUGAUCCAGCCAUGCCGCGUGUGUGAAGAAGGUCUUCGGAUUGUAAAGCACUUUAAGUUGGGAGGAAGGGCAGUAAGUUAAUACCUUGCUGUUUUGACGUUACCAACAGAAUAAGCACCGGCUAACUUCGUG